AUUGAACGCUGGCGGCAUGCCUUACACAUGCAAGUCGAACGGCAGCACGGGAGCAAUCCUGGUGGCGAGUGGCGAACGGGUGAGUAAUAUAUCGGAACGUGCCCAGUCGUGGGGAUAACGUAGCGAAAGCUACGCUAAUACCGCAUACGAUCUAUGGAUGAAAGCGGGGGGAUCGCAAGACUUCGCGCGAUUGGAGCGGCCGAUAUCAGAUUAGGUAGUUGGUGAGGUAAAGGCUCACCAAGCCGACGAUCUGUAGCUGGUCUGAGAGGACGACCAGCCACACUGGGACUGAGACACGGCCCAGACUCCUACGGGAGGCAGCAAGUGGGGGAAUUUUGGACAAUGGGCGC
rnacentral:rRNA from 1 species